CUCCAGACAAGAAUACUGGGGUGGGCAACCAUUUCCUCCUCCAGUGGAUCUUCCCAACCCAGGGAUUAAAUCCAUGUCUCUGGAGUUUCCCGUGUUACAGAUUGCACUUAUUGCAUGUGAACCUCUGACGGGGGAACAGCGCCUGGGGACACACCCACCGGAGGCAGCAUUGACGUCUGGGUGACACCGGGGGAGACCACAGCUUCGUGCCUCUGUGCCAGGAAGCCCAGCUGCCUCUUUCUCUGCCUGCAGAAAUAUUGUUAAAGGGAAUGCAGACUGAGCUCCUGGAACACCGUCAGGUCAGAUGUGCCUGUGUACCCAGAAGCUACAGACAGCAUAAUGUGCUCCUACGGUCCCAACGCUACACCUACUAUGUGGGAGCAAUCACAGGGAAAGACAGAGACACUUGUUAAACAUUGAGUGGCUCAUACAGUGAGAUGAGACACUUGUGCUGUGGAAAGAUAGGUCUAAUGAUCUGGUUCUUUGUUUUCCCUUGAAAAAGAAAUUUCAAAAUAUAGAGCAUCUCACAAAGAAGUGUUUCCAAAUUGACUCAAAAACAAAAACAAAAAAAAAAAAAAGAGAGAGAGAAAGAGAAAGAAAU